UUACACACCAGGCACGUUGCACGCAUGUAAUUUUGCGCGAUUAUUCGUCCGCGUGCAUUCUUUCGAAAGAAAGAGAAAGGGAGGGAGAGAAAAAGAUGGACCCCGGUAUCUCUUGGCCGCCAACCUCGCACGAGCUGUCCGAGACGUAAGGGCUCACUUUGGACAGCUUAACCGCUAUGAAUAAAAAAAAGGAGAGGAAAACCCGCGUCAAGUAUAUCGACAAUGAAAAUGUGGAAAUUAUCGAGCUGCACGCGCCGCUGCCGGAAGGAAAGCUGAAGAAACGAGGGAUGACUGGGGAGGGGGAUGGAACGAAGAAAUUUCUCCCGCAAGAAGAAAUAGAUGACUGACUCCAACUAUGGCGUAUUAUACAGAUUAAUUACCUAUCUCGUGUCUGGAAGGGAGGAGAAAGGGGACAUUAUUUAUCUCUCGGAAUCCCUCCCUAUUCCUAGGAAGUAACUCUGACAAUCGGCUAAAAAAAAAACAUCCCUCUGUAUCUAACAUUGUAUAUCGUAAAUACUUUCGAGUGUUGUUUCGUUCUGAGUUAGUACAAAUUAAGAAUUAUGUAAAUGAAAUAAGAGAUCGCGAAAUUUGCUUAUAAUUAUAAAUCGUGCUGUGGCACAAUUUUAUAUCACUAUAUGUCUUCUA